CCUACGGGCGGCAGCAGUGAGGAAUAUUGGUCAAUGGACGAGAGUCUGAACCAGCCAAGUAGCGUGAAGGAUGACUGCCCUAUGGGUUGUAAACUUCUUUUAUAAAGGAAUAAAACGAGGCACGUGUGCCUUUUUGCAUGUACUUUAUGAAUAAGGAUCGGCUAACUCCGUGCCAGCAGCCGCGGUAAUACGGAGGAUCCGAGCGUUAUCCGGAUUUAUUGGGUUUAAAGGGAGCGUAGAUGGGUUGUUAAGUCAGUUGUUAAAGUUUGCGGCUCAACCGGAGAAGUGCAAUUGAUACUGGCAGUCUUGAGUACAGUUGAGGUAGGCGGAAUGCGUGGUGUAGCGGUGAAAUGCAUAGAUAUCACGAAGAACCCCGAUUGCGAAGGCAGCUUACUAAUCUGUGACUGACGUUGAUGCACGAAAGUGUGGGUAUCAAACAGGAUUAGAUACCCGAGUAGUC
rnacentral:rRNA from 1 species